ensembl:misc_RNA Metazoa_SRP Metazoan signal recognition particle RNA
GCUGCGCACGGUGGCGCGUGCCUGUAAUCCCAGCUACUCAGGAGGCUGAGGCAGGAGAAUUGCCUGAACGCGGGAGGCGGAGGUUGAGGUGAGCCGAGAUCGCGCCAUUGCACUCCAGCCUGGAUAACAAGAGCGAAAUUCUGUCUCAAAAAAAAAAGAUUCUCUUGGAAGUAUAUUUGUUGUUAUUGUUUUGAGACGGAGUUUCGCUCUUGUUACCCAGGCUGGAGUGCAAUGGCGCGAUCUCGGCUCACCGCAACCUCCGCCUCACGGGUUCAGGCAAUUCUCCUGCCUCAG